GCACCGGCUAACUACGUGCCAGCAGCCGCGGUAAUACGUAGGGUGCGAGCGUUGUCCGGAAUUAUUGGGCGUAAAGAGCUUGUAGGCGGUUUGUCGCGUCUGCCGUGAAAAUCCGAGGCUCAACCUCGGACUUGCGGUGGGUACGGGCAGACUAGAGUGUGGUAGGGGAGACUGGAAUUCCUGGUGUAGCGGUGAAAUGCGCAGAUAUCAGGAGGAACACCGAUGGCGAAGGCAGGUCUCUGGGCCACUACUGACGCUGAGAAGCGAAAGCAUGGGGAGCGAACAGGAUUAGAUACCCUGGUAGUCCAUGCCGUAAACGUUGGGAACUAGGUGUGGGUCUCAUUCCACGAGAUCCGUGCCGCAGCUAACGCAUUAAGUUCCCCGCCUGGGGAGUACGGCCGCA
rnacentral:rRNA from 1 species